ensembl:lncRNA
GUUUUCCUGCGUUCUGCAUUAAUCAAUGAAUGCCAAUUAACCAACGUUUAGAUUGAGCUCAAGGAAGGAAAGGCAAAAAUGAUUGUGUCCUGAGACAGAUGUCCCGGCAGCUUCUCCAGAACCAUUAAGCACCUCAGAUGAAUUGGUGAUCAAUUAACUGAGAUUAAAAUAGAGACAUCCAGUACACAAACCACCUGCUUUACUCCCAUCUUUGGGAACAGGUGACUGACUACCCAACCUCCUCUGUAUAUGGUCAUAUAACAUUACUUGGCCCAUAAAACUGUUUUGGUGGUUCAUUGCAGGACAUGGACUCCUCUGACACUGAAAUGCACUGUGGUCUUGUUCCAGGCUGUCCCUGACUGAGAAACAGUAAGCCACUUCUUCGGUGUCUGUUUGUAUGGUGUCAGCUGCAUAGCUCUACGAUCGCAGCAAAGUGCAUUCAAGUGUGCUAUAGGUUCGGGUUGCCCACUGGAAAAGAAAUGUGCAGUUCUAAAGAUGGGUUACUGUAGGUGAAGGGAAUAAUCAGACGUGAAAAAAUACUGGUGUGAAAUGGGAGGAUAAGCUUGUCUCACCUGGCUUUAGAGAAAGGCAGACCUACACCUUGUAAGCAUCUAUUUAGACCAGGGUGCUGCGUCCUGGACUCCCUGCACUGUGCUACCGAGAUCCCACUGUCUAUAAACACUGGAGAUAAUCAGAUCAAUCCUUCCAAACAUCUGCUUUCAUUUAUCAAAACAAGGUUAAGACACUUGAUGUCAGUUUACAAACAUCUCUCGGGGAAGGGACUCACCAUAACGCAAACAGAAGAGGCGGUGACAGUGAGCUGGGAGCUGCCCCAGCCUGCAGGCGGUCCCGUCCAGAACACCUGGUCAGUAGCAGAAUGCCGUGUCUGAGCAUGUGCUCCAUCUCCCUGCAGGCACAGCACAGCUGCAGAGGGCCUGGGCAGCACAGAGGCACAAAGGCCUUGUCACCCCCUUGGUGACAGAGCAUCCCUGAAUGGCUCUGGGCAGCACUGGGCCCCAUAUGUGCACCUGCACUGAGCACGGGCCUCAGCUAUGGGGAGGGGAGCAGGCCCUGGGGAUGGCUCAGGUCCCACCACGUCCUCUAUGGGUGCCCCUUGUGCUGCCUCCACAAGUCUUUGUGGCAGCACACUGUUGAUAUUUUUUACCUUGCUGACUUGUCUUUUUGGAUAGAGCUCGCCUGCCUGCAUGGACAAGGGGUAUGUGGCCUUUCCCAGUGAGGGGCCCUGCCAAGGCCUCAGUUUCCCUA